GUCAGGAUGAACGCUGGCGGCGUGCCUAACACAUGCAAGUCGAGCGGAGAUAAGUUGAAGCCUAGCGAUUCUUAUCUUAGCGGCGGAUGGGUGAGUAACACGUGGGUAACCUGCCCUGUACUGGGGAAUAACAGCUGGAAACGGCUGUUAAUGCCGCAUAUGCGCACGGAGCCGCAUGACUCCGGGCGGAAAGAUUUAUCGGUACAGGAUGGGCCCGCGCCGGAUUAACUAGUUGGCGGGGUAACGGCCCACCAAGGUGAUGAUCCGUAGCCGACCUGAGAGGGUGACCGGCCACAUUGGGACUGAGACACGGCCCAAACUCCUACGGGAGGCAGCAGUGGGGGAUAUUGCACAAUGGGGGAAACCCUGAUGCAGCGACGCCGCGUGAAGGAUGACGUAUUUCGGUAUGUAAACUUCUAUCAGCGGGGAAGAAGAUGACGGUACCCGACUAAGAAGCCCCGGCUAACUACGUGCCAGCCGCUGC
rnacentral:rRNA from 1 species